GCUCUGGCCCAACCCGGCAGAGGCACCGGAUUCAGGAUCCGGCCGGUCCAGGUUCGAAUCCUGGCGAGGGCA
rnacentral:tRNA from 1 species